GUUACAAUAUAAUAAUAUUAUCAACUUAAUGUUUAGAUAGAUCGAUGGAAUUUUCUCGAUGUUGAUAAAUCGGUACAGACGCCAAGCCACAACACAUAGAUACCUAUUUACCACAUUAUUUAAUUGUUGGCGGUUCCUUCACGGAAAACGGAAAAUUUUUUGAUCCCAUCUGGUAAGAUUCAUACAAUUAAUAGCAAACACGUUUUUUCUAAUUGUUUUGGAUUUUAGGAAACACAUCAAAUAUGCGGAAACACAUCAAAUAUGCAAGAGCAUUUAAAGCGUGCACAUCCUCUCAAAAUCGUUGAACAAAAAUCGCAGAGAAUUGAUAAAUUUAUCGAGCGAACGGAUUUAUAUGAACCCUCGUCAUCCAGAAAGGCGUACCUAAACGGCCAGGAAAUGGUUGCAAGCGACUUGCACCUCAAAAUACAAGCCCACUGGAUUAUUGGAAGAUUACCUCCAUUCAAUUCGAAUCAUUUGCAAAAUGUGCAA
rnacentral:sRNA from 1 species